rnacentral:rRNA from 1 species
UGGGGAAUAUUGGACAAUGGGCGAAAGCCUGAUCCAGCCAUGCCGCGUGUGUGAAGAAGGUCUUCGGAUUGUAAACUGCUUUUGUACGGAACGAAACGGUCUUUUCUAAUAAAGAAGGCUAAUGACGGUACCGUAAGAAUAAGCACCGGCUAACUACGUGCCAGCAGCCGCGGUAAUACGUAGGGUGCAAGCGUUAAUCGGAAUUACUGGGCGUAAAGCGUGCGCAGGCGGUUAUAUAAGACAGUUGUGAAAUCCCCGGGCUCAACCUGGGAACUGCAUCUGUGACUGUAUAGCUAGAGUACGGUAGAGGGGGAUGGAAUUCCGCGUGUAGCAGUGAAAUGCGUAGAUAUGCGGAGGAACACCGAUGGCGAAGGCAAUCCCCUGGACCUGUACUGACGCUCAUGCACGAAAGCGUGGGGAGCAAACAGGAUUAGAUACCCUGGUAGUCCCUGAGCGGGCUGGCAAGGCGCAU